rnacentral:rRNA from 1 species
AACGAACGCUGGCGGCAUGCCUAACACAUGCAAGUCGAACGAGACCUUCGGGUCUAGUGGCGCACGGGUGCGUAACGCGUGGGAACCUGCCUUUAGGUUUGGGAUAACAGUGAGAAAUUGCUGCUAAUACCAAAUAAUGUCUUCGGACCAAAGAUUUAUCGCCUUUAGAUGGGCCCGCGUAGGAUUAGCUAGUUGGUGAGGUAAUGGCUCACCAAGGCGACGAUCCUUAGCUGGUCUUAGAGGAUGACCAGCCACACUGGGACUGAGACACGGCCCAGACUCCUACGGGAGGCAGCAGUGGGGAAUAUUGGACAAUGGGCGAAAGCCUGAUCCAGCAAUGCCGCGUGAGUGAUGAAGGCCUUAGGGUUGUAAAGCUCUUUUACCAGGGAUGAUAAUGACAGUACCUGGAGAAUAAGCUCCGGCUAACUCCGUGCCAGCAGCCGCGGUAAUG